rnacentral:rRNA from 1 species
GAUGAACGCUGGCGGCGUGCCUAAUACAUGCAAGUCGAGCGAACGGACGAGAAGCUUGCUUUUCUGAUGUUAGCGGCGGACGGGUGAGUAACACGUGGAUAACCUACCUAUAAGACUGGGAUAACUUCGGGAAACCGGAUCUAAUACCGGAUAAUAUUUUGAACCGCAUGGUUCAAAAGUGAAAGACGGUCUUGCUGUCACUUAUAGAUGGAUCCGCGCUGCAUUAGCUAGUUGGUAAGGUAACGGCUUACCAAGGCAACGAUGCAUAGCCGACCUGAGAGGGUGAUCGGCCACACUGGAACUGAGACACGGUCCAGACUCCUACGGGAGGCAGCAGUAGGGAAUCUUACGCAAUGGGCGAAAGCCUGACGGAGCAACGCCGCGUGAGUGAUGAAGGUCUUCGGAUCGUAAAACUCUGUUAUUAGGGAAGAACAUAUGUGUAAGUAACUGUGCACAUCUUGACGGUACCUAAUCAGAAAGCCACGGCUAACUACGUG